rnacentral:rRNA from 1 species
ACGGGUGAGUAACGCGUAUCCAACCUUCCCCUUAGUAGGGCAUAGCCCGGCGAAAGUCGGAUUAAUACCCUAUGUUCUCCGAAGAGGACAUCUGAUUUGGAGCAAAGGUUCACCGCUAAGGGAUGGGGAUGCGUCUGAUUAGCUUGUCGGCGGGGUAACGGCCCACCGAGGCAACGAUCAGUAGGGGUUCUGAGAGGAAGGUCCCCCACAUUGGAACUGAGACACGGUCCAAACUCCUACGGGAGGCAGCAGUGAGGAAUAUUGGUCAAUGGGCGAGAGCCUGAACCAGCCAAGUAGCGUGCAGGACGACGGCCCUAUGGGUUGUAAACUGCUUUUAUGCGGGGAUAAAGUGCACCACGUGUGGUGUUUUGUAGGUACCGCAUGAAUAAGGACCGGCUAAUUCCGUGCCAGCAGCCGCGGUAAUACGGAAGGUCCGGGCGUUAUCCGGAUUUAUUGGGUUUAAAGGGAGCGCAGGCGGGAGAUUAAGCGUGACGUGAAAUGUAGGUGCUCAACAUCUGCACUGCGUCGCGAACUGGUUUUCUUGAGUGGGUGCGACGUCGGCGGAAUUCGUGGUGUAGCGGUGAAAUGCUUAGAUAUCACGAAGAACCCCGAUUGCGAAG